ensembl:lncRNA
CCGGAAGCACCUGCCGAGCACGCCAGAACCACCUGCUCGACUCGCCAAAACCACCUGCUGGACACGCCGAAAUCACCUGCCGGCUACGCCACAACCAUUUGUUGAACUCUUCGGAAUCACCUGCCGGGCUGGCUGGAACCACCUUCCGGUCACGCCAACAUCACCUGCCAGCUAUGCCAGAACCACUUGGCGGACACCAUGGAAACACCUGUCGGGCCGGCCGGAACCACCUAUCAGACGUGCCAGAACCAUGUGCCUGAGAUGCCGGAACCACACCCGAACAGACCGAAACCACCUGCCAGACCCGCCUGAACCACCUGCCGAGCACACCGGAACCACCUACUCGACUCGCCGGAACCACCUACCUGACACGCUAAAAUCACCUGCCGGUUAUGCCACAAUCACUUGGUGGACACUCCGGAAUCAUCUGCCGGAUAUGCCAGAACCAGCUCUCAGACACACCAGAACCACGUGCCAGACACGCCGGAAGCACCUGCUGAUCAUGCCUGAGCCAAAUGCUCGACUUGCAAGAAUCACCUGCCAGACACGCCAAAAUCACCUGUCGGGUACGCCAGAACAACGUGGCAGACACUCCGGAAUCACCUGUCGGGCAUGCCGGAACCAACUCUCAGACGUGCCAGAACCUCGUGCCGGUCAUGCCAGAACCACCUGCUGGACAGACCGGAAACACCUGCUGGUAACGCCGGAACCACCGGCUCGAGUCACCGGAACCACCGCUGGACAUGCAAAAUGACCUGCCGGCUACGCCACAACCACUUGGCGAACACUCCGGAAUCACAUGUCGGGCAUGCCGGAACCACCUCUCAGACUUGCCAGAACCAUGUUCCGGACACUCCGGUACCACCUGCCGAGUAUGCCGGAACCACCUGAUCCACUCCCCAGAACCACCUGCUGGACACGCCAGAAUCACCUGCCGACUACGCCAGAACCACUCGGCAGACACUCCGGAACCACCUGCCGGGCAUGCCGGAACCACCUCUCAGAGGUGCCAGAACCACAUGCCGGAAACUCCGGAAUCACCUGCUGGGCAUGCUGGAACCACGUGCUGGACAUGCCGGAACCACCUGCCAGACAUGCCGGAACCACCUGCCGGACAUUCCGGAACCACCGGCUCGACUCGCCGGAACCAUUGCCGGACAUGCAAAAUCACCUGCCGGCUACGCCAGAACCACUUGGCGAACUCUCUGGUAUCACCUGCCCGGCAUGCCGGAACCACCUCUCAGAGGUGCCAGAACCACAUGCCGGACACUCCGGAAUCACCUGCCGGGCAUGGCGGAACCACCUCUCAGACAUGCCGGAACCACAUGCCAAUGACACCGGAAGCACCUGCCGAGCACUCCAGAACCACCUGCUCGACUCGCCAAAACCACCUGCUGGACACGCCAAAAUCACCUGCCUGCUACGCCAGAACCACGUGGCAGACACUCCGGAAUCACCUGCCGGGCUGGCUGGAACCACCUGCCGGUCACGCCAACAUCACCUUUCAGCUACGCCAGAAACACUUGGCGGACACUCCGGAAACACCUCUCCAGCCGACCGGAACCACCUCUCAGACGUGCCAGAACCUUGUGCCUGAGAUACCGGAACCACUCCCCGAACAGACCGGAACCACCUGCCAGACCCACCUGAACCCCCUGGCGAGCACGCCUGAUCCACCUGCUCAACUAGCCGGAACCACCUUCCUGACAUGCCAAAAUCACCUGCCAGGUAUACCAGAACCACUUGGUGGACACUCCGGAAUCAUCUGCCGUACAUGCCAGAACCAGCUCUCAGACACACCAGAACCACGUGCCAGAGACGCCGGAAGCACCAGCUGAGGAUGCCAGAUCCACCUGCUCGACUCGCAAGAAACACCUGUCGGACAUGCCAAAAUCACCUGCCGGGUACGCCAGAAACACUUGGCGGAUGCUCCGGAAUCAACUGUCGGGCGUGCCGGAACCACCUCUCAGACGUGCCAGAACCAUGUUCUGGACACGCCAGAACCACCUGCCGGACAGACCAGAAACACCUGCUGGACACGCCGGAACCACC